rnacentral:rRNA from 1 species
GACGAACGCUGGCGGCGUGCUUAACACAUGCAAGUCGAACGGUGAAGGGACCGGUUUUUGCUGGUUCUGGAUGAGUGGCGAACGGGUGAGUAACACGUGAGUAACCUGCCCCCUUCUUCUGGAUAACCGCAUGAAAGUGUGGCUAAUACGGGAUAUUCUGCGCCUGCUGCAUGGUGGGUGUGGGAAAGAUAUUGUUUCGGUGGGGGAUGGGCUCGCGGCCUAUCAGCUUGUUGGUGGGGUGAUGGCCUACCAAGGCGGUGACGGGUAGCCGGCCUGAGAGGGUGGACGGUCACACUGGGGCUGAGACACGGCCGAGACUCCGACGGGAGGCAGAAGUGGGGAGGAUUGCGCAGUGGGCGCAAGCCUGAUACAGCGACGCCGCGUGAGCGAUGGGGGCGUUCGGGGGGUAAACCUCUUUCGCCAGUGAAGCAGGCCUGCCCCUGUUGUGGGUGGGUUGACGGUAGCGGGAUAAGAAGCGCCGGCUAACUACGUG